rnacentral:rRNA from 1 species
GAUGAACGCUGGCGGUAUGCUUAACACAUGCAAGUCGAACGGACUCUUCGGAGUUAGUGGCGGACGGGUGAGUAACGCGUGAGAAUCUGGCUUUGGGUUCGGGACAACCACUGGAAACGGUGGCUAAUACCGGAUGUGCCAAGAGGUACAAGAGAAAUUGCCUGAAGAUGAGCUCGCGUCUGAUUAGCUAGUUGGUGAGGUAAAGGCUCACCAAGGCAGCGAUCAGUAGCUGGUCUGAGAGGAUGACCAGCCACACCGGGACUGAGACACGGCCCAGACUCCUACGGGAGGCAGCAGUGGGGAAUUUUCCGCAAUGGGCGAAAGCCUGACGGAGCAAUACCGCGUGAGGGAAGAAGGCUCUUGGGUUGUAAACCUCUUUGCUUAGGGAAGAACAAAAUGACGGUACCUAAGGAAUCAGCAUCGGCUAACUCCGUG